ensembl:lncRNA
GGUCUAGAUGAUCACAUCUGUCUUUGUCAUUUAAAUGAGGUGGACUUGCAAACUUUGCACUCUUUUGGAUUUCAAGACAGAGCUUAUUGUUCUCUGAACUUCCUUGUUUGCUGAACGGCAGGUAAAGUGCAUCUUUUUGUUUGUUUGCUUUUGUGUGUUUGUGUUUUCUCUAAUGGGCCUCAGAUGACUGUUUGCUUAAAUUUGGGUCUCAAAGAAUCUUUUUUUCAUUCUGCCUGUACUCUCCACCCCUCUUCUUCUAUUGCUCAGGUUGAAGCAGAAUUUGCCCGUCUUACAUCUGUUGACCUGAAAGGGUUCCUUUUUGCUGUGCUUGACCAUUAUGGAGAGGUUCGUGGAGCUGUACAAAAUCAAGAGCGGCAUAGGAGGGCUGACUAGGCUCAUAAAAUGCUUCAAUGAUGAU